ensembl:lncRNA
CUAUCUCAAAAACUAGAAAGAAUUCUUUUCCCAUAAAACUGUCCAGUACUCUGCCACUAAGUUAACUUUAACAGUUAUUUUACAUGACAUACUGUUGAUAGCUAUUCCACUACUAAGGAUUGCCCACUAGCACCCUUAGAGUAAAUAUUUGCAACUUUUCUUUGAAGUAUGUAUUUGGAGACAAAACAGACAAGUAUUUUCCAGUAUUUUCCUUUCAAAUAAGAUUUAAGGGAAGCAAUAUGAUAGUUUAUGAGAGUAGCACACGGCUCACUUAAAUGGUGCUCCAUUUUAUAGUCCUAUUUCUGUUCUUGACCUGUUACAUCAUCAGAGGCAGGAUCUUUCAUCUCUGCUUGUGCACCUUCUGAGAACAUCUGAAUGCAUGUAUAUUCUUGGAAACCUGUUUUACCACAAACAUUUGAACCUGAAAUGCCAGAUUCAUAACCCAACAAACUGAUUUGUUGUCGACUACUGUGCUCACACUGGUUCAGAUGCUGUGCUUCUCCUGUGAGAAACCUGUGCAAGUUUCCAGAGUGUAAGAGAUUACUGCUGCUCAGGGAGCAACAUCACAGACGCAGUAGAGAUAAGUGGAUUUGUGCCUUAAUGAUUCCCUUUACUCCAUACUCUUCUCCUUUAAGCAAAUGAAAUCUGUAUAAGAAAUGACUCUAUGUAAAGUUAAAGUGGGGGAAGAAAGGGUUGAAAUAAUAUUCAGAAAGCCAUUCUAAGCUAGGUGCGAGCCUGGAAGUGAUGUCACUAAAUAAUAUGUAAAUUCUCUGAAUUUUUACAUCCUUUCCAAAAGAACUCUUCUCCCCAGAAAAUUCCCUUCAUUGCUUGCUUUAGUUAGGUUUACAGUGAAUGUUUGUGUCAUAAGUCAUACUCUGUUGACCAAAGGAACGGUUGCUAUUGACUGCAGUCAGAAGAGAUUGAAACUUUGGUUCCUUUUGAAAGAAAAGGAAUUGUUACUGUGCAGCAAAGCUGAUCAGCUGGGUGAAAGGGACAUUUUCUACAACUGACAGGAGGCAACCAGAGGUGAAUGUCAGGGAGCCUGAAUCUGGGGAGCAGGGCAGCCACCAAGUCUUGACAUCUCAGCAUCUGCUCCUAUUUGGUAGACUCCUGUAUUUACUGCUGCAGCACUGACUUUGCUUGUUAGGACUACAACUGCUGGUUCAGGGGUCUGCAACACCAGCAUGUUGGAAGAGGUAGGACUGUUUACAGACUUAGUAUUAGGUGUACAUUUAAACAAUUCACUAAUUCAAGCUUCUCAUCCCAGUUUUCUUCCUGAGAAAAAAUACUACUUUUGUCUAUAGCAUGCAAUCAGAUCUGCAUUUAAUCUCACAUUGGCUGAUGUGUACUACCCCCCAGCAUGUAAAGGAAAUGCUUACAUACAAAUAACUACCUUUAUUUUAGGGAUGUGACUUGCUUCACUAAUUCCCCAGGAUAUUUAUUUAUAAAAAAUUACUUUCAGAGCCUUUUAGUGCAUUGACCUUGUUUCAGGGUUUAGAUGGGAAGAGGGAGGGCUGGAGUUUUUUCUUAAACGCUGCAGGGGAUUUCUGUCAGGUUGCUUUAACACUUCGUCUCAGAUUCUUGCCAGGCUUUUGGGCUAAAGAAUUUUCAAAUGCAGCUAGCCGUCAUCACAUAGCUCUUGCGUUUGUACAGCAGUAUCUGCAGAAGCCUAUCAAAUAUGGGCUAAUGCUGAGAUGUCAAGGCCUUGGUGGCUGCUCUUUGUUUUAUAAAUAUAAAAUUGAUUUGGCUUUCAUGCGAUGAGAAAGCAAGAGGACUUAAGAAUAGAGGCACCAGAUAAGCAUCAUAAAUGCGUACAUCACUUUUAGUGUAUCAGGUGUGGAUGUUGUAGUGACCACUCUAUGGACUGAGUCUGUGCAUUAUAGCAGUUUCCUAUGCAAAGAUGCGGAAUGUUGUUAUUCCCCUAAAGAGCAGGAGAGCAGAGAAAGGGAUGUGCUGUGCUGCUGAAUUUUCCUUUCAAAAACCUAAGGGUUUCAUAGCAAUAGGUCACCACAUUUAGAAUCACUAAAACACUCAUGCUGUAAAAACACAGAACUCGUAGUCUUCUUUACCCCACUGAGGGUUAGCACUGCAAGGGCUGUUAACGAUUCCUUUAGCUUUCUCUUACUGAGUGUUUUCACAUAUAUAUCUACGGAAAAUGAAACAUGAUAUAACAUGCAUGGAAAAUAGAAGCAUGUACUACCCAAACCUCAUUCUCCAACUAAAGUAUCUAUUGUUUAAUAACAGAAGGUACGUAGGGAUUUUUUGGGUGGAUUACUGAGUUGAAGUGUAUUUCGUGCCCCCAAAAUAACAGCUUACAUGCAGACCAUAGGUGUCCAACCUUUUGGCUUAUCUACGCCUUACUGAGCCCAAGAGGAAUCAUCUUGGGCUGCAUAUAAAAUAAAAUAUGUAACAAAAAUUAUUUUUAUUAUUUUUUUUAGUAAAACAUUUUAAAAGGGAAACAAACACACAAGACUAGUGGGUUGGACACAUGAUCUAGGCCAUGAGAAGGUCCCACAUAUCUCUGGGCAGCAACUUUGGAUUAAAGGAACUCUAUUGAAAUGGCAAAUUCCUACUAUUUCUCACAGUAGAGCAGGUAGAACUGUUAUUCUCUCCUGUUACUUCCUGAUGUUUGAACUCAGUCCCUCAUUCCUCUACCAUUGCUUCUCGGUGUCACCCAGGGCUAUACAUAUGGCAACUGCACACACAGUCCUACUUGCAGAUGGGGCUUAGGCUAAAUGCUAGGCUUUGUGGCAUUUCUGUGCUAAUCUCUGAAGGCUUUUGGAUACACCCCUGAGGCAGUGCACUUCUAGAACCCCUGCUUGGCCAAACAGAAGUUCGGCUUCCCUGGGGUUAAAUCCCAAGAAGAUUUCAGUGGUAGUUAAGUUGGAUGUAGGCAGGUGGAAGUGUACAGCACUGCAAAAUGUAACUCCAUUGCCUCUUGGUUUUACUAAUGCCUCAAAGGAGGGCUGGCUCAUUCUAAGUGCAGUGCAAUAUCUAAGUAGAAAAAGAGAUGUUUGGAAAAAUCAUUCAUUAUAUUUUUCAGAAUAAAGCAAUCACAUCUUCCUUAGCAGAGAAUGCAAAGAAAGCUGUAAAUAUCACAGCUGCUCACUGGCAACUAGGAAAAAAAAAGAGUCAAAUUCAAAGCUUGCCACUUCUAUUCACAGUGAAUGACUUAGGAGUCAAAAGAAGAACAGGGUGUGUACAGUCUGAAGAGAAUAUUGCUGGUAAAAUUCUAAGGAUGCCUCCUAAAACUGGCAAUUGCUCACCAUGUCAGCUGGAAUAAAGUUUGUCACAUUGUAUGUCCAGAUGCAAUAUGGUGAUAUAUGCAAUUUCAGUCACUCUUUCCAAAUUGUGGGCUUUAUCUGAAAUGCUCUCAUACCCCAAACUGUCUGCAUUUUCAUUAAAAGAAUGAAUGUUCCUGUCAUCAUCUUGGUAGGAACGCCAACAGGAAAUAAGCUACCUCUAAAUGAAAAGAUGCAUUUUAUUGUUUGCGAAGCUGGGGAAAUAUGAGUCAAACUUACAACUUGGCUGGCAGGUGGUUUGUUUGGAGUAUGGAAUUAGUGCCUUUGUAGGGGUCUGACAAAUAGCCUGGGGUCUCAGACAAUGCACUGGCAUCCUGGUGGCUGCAUGAUCUUACAGAGAGCAUUAACUUCCCUGUGCCUCAGUUUCUUCAUCAGUAAAACUGUGAUAAUCAUUUUCUGCUGGAGUUUCCAGCUAAUAGGCUUGUUAUGCCCUGCAAAGCACUCAGAGAUCUCCAUCUGGAACAAACUACAGAAGUGCAAGUAUUAUUGCUAUUAGAAGUCCAUUACAGCUCUGUUUUGCUUUGUUCGUACUGGCCCUUUGGUACGUGCAGCUAGACAGCUCCUAAUGUUAUCUUGAUGCACAAAGCACUUUUUGUGUGAGGUUUGACUCACACUAAAAUGCCAGUUAGAAUUUUGUCCUCGGGAACUCACUGGAGCUUGGCUUACAGAAUCUGAAAAUUAAAUCAACCAAAAUAGGUCAAACACAAAACUAUAUGUCCUUAUGUGUCCUCUUGUCCUCUUUAGCAGUAUAGCGCAUAGUUGUUGUUUUCUUAUCUGUAAAGUUUGGGCCUGUUUUGUUCCUCAGCCAGCUUUGCUACUGAUAUCUUGGUUACAUUUUGAAUACCUGCUCUUGAGAAUUUUCUGUUCCCAUUAAAUAUAGUUUAGAAGGACACGCUCAUCUGUUAGUGGUCCAGAAAUAACGUGCUGAAUGCACCAGCAGCUGAUGCGACUGAACGCGAUACAAAAGUGUAUCAUUCUGUUAGAGUUUGUUGGUAGGCAUCAUUAUGGAAAUGUUUUUGAGCCUUAAAAAAGGGAAUAGUGUAUCGGAAAUUGAAUCAAACGUUAACAGAAGCUGCAGUUUGUGGUUUACUUUUCCCUCGUAGCUAGUUCUUUAGGAAUUAUUCCUGUUCACAUAAUCCUUUAAGUUAAUGUAUUUAUUCCGUGCGUGCUUUAUAAUUUCUAUUCAUUCAUAUGUCAAGUAGCUGAAGGUGCUGCUUCAAUUAGUAUUUACUUCAGUGUUAUACUGUUUUGAAUUGGUUGUUUGUUACAGUCACAAUGCAGUGAAUAAACGUGUUAAUAUUUGAAGUGGGAAGGGAGGUAAAAUGGGAAACCGUCUGCUCCAGUCGCGGCCCAGCUUUCUGGUUACAACAUAUUAUAAUUUAUUUAAACCCAAUCAAUACUUAAUCUGGAGUUUAAAUUCCGCUAAAGAUCUGUGGCAUAGCUAAAAGCAGCUGAUGCCAAAGAAAAAAAAUUUCUUCAGGCUGUGAUUCUGAUGAAUUUAUAAUGCGCUCUAAGGGUGAUGCAUUGACCUAAAUUCACAGAAGCGCCGCAAUUCGUAUUUAUUAUUGUGAAAGGUGUCCUACCAACACUUUUCUUCUUCUGAAUGUUGAGAGCCUGUGUGAGAAAGAUGGGCGGCUGCAGAGGAAGGAGCUGCACGCACAGCCCGGGAGGGUGGGAUGGGACUGAGCGCGGCCCUGUGCCGCACACCGGGCGGUGAGUCACUGUGACCCCGAGAUUCAAGGCAGGAAUUAAUUCAGCACUGCAAAAAUCUGGCAAAUGUUUGAAGCCAGCAGUGAAAGCAGACUUCCUGAGAGGUGUGUGUUUGUGGUGACAAUUUGGAUUUAUUUUUCUGGCAAUGCAAAAGACAUUGUUACGGCAGGAAGAAGACAGUUGUGUUAAAAACUGCUUCUCUUUUUUAGUUCUCCCCCCCCCCCAGCCUUUCUGGGGAAAUAGAUUUUGAUCUCUGCGGCAUUUGGUUUUCUCUGUACAGCUCUUUAAACUCCCCCAGGCACAGCCAUCUCAGGGCAGGCCCCAUGGGCAGCUCCUACCAGCACUGCAGGGAUGUGCACACACCAUUCUCUUGUAAGGUCUGGGCAACCUCAUAUUUCCCAGCACAUUUUGGCAAGCUUUUACUCAGAGUGGUCCAACAGCUUUUCAUAGUAAGUGAAUGACUUCCCAGUGACCUGAGCCCUCUUCCAAGCCUCCUUUGUCACCCUGACAGCUUGCAGUCAUGCUUUUCUGAUCUUGUGCAAAGCUAUAUGUUUUACCAGAUCUGUAACUGCAGGAGACUUGGUUGUUCUGAAAAUUAACUGGAUGAAUAAGGGAAAUGUAUAGUGGAUAAAGGCUGACAAUCAUCCCCACUUCUUUUAUGAUACAAUGCCCUGUCCUCACGAGAAGGGAGAAGAGCUCAAUUCUCCCUCCUAAUUGAUAGGUGCAUACUUGUCAGAUGUGGUUUCCCCAGGCAGUCUGUAAGGCAGGACUCACCCCCCCCACACACCGUUCAUCCCCAGUCCCUCACCUGUGUGCUUCUGGGGCAUCACAUCAGACACUCUCCCAGCAUGUGUCUUCUUGCUCUAUUUUGUGCCCGCCUCUGCCCAUAUUGCUGCUGUAGUGGUUUAUGCCAGAAUAAAUAUGGGCUAGCAUAAAUCCUCAGGCUUGGAAGGCAUUAGCCUGCCUUUACUGUAGCACAAUCGACAGCUGUACCUGGCACCACGACCUCAUUGCACCCCAGCGUGGCAGCAUCCAGAGCCUUGAUGCAUUGGAGGAGCAGAGCCACAUGCUUGCUGAGGUUUGUUCCUCUGGGCUGGCCCUGAGGAUGAGAACAGCAUGCAAACACAGCUUCUCAGCAGGAGCAACUAUUAGUUUCAGCUUUAACCUUUACUUAAAAAUAUGAAGCUGCUGAGCAAAAAUGCAAAGGCUUAGUGUUCAAACUCACGCCUAACUCAGAGAGCUGGGUUCCUAGAACCAACUGUGAAUUUCAGUUUAGCAGCAAGGAAGUUUAUGUUCAACUUCAGUUUUUCUUCCAGCUAUAAUGCUCAAAGGGAGUACUUCAGUAUCUGUCUUGCUUUUUGUUAGGGAGAUGAAACAAAACAAAACACCAUUUGUCAUAAUUCUUUGGGAUUGCUAUUAUGGCCAGGAGAAAAGCGGGCUUCUGCUAGUUCAUGUACGAGUCAAAAGAAAGGCAUAUUCCUUUCCCCACAGGAUCCCAAGCGGAAGAGUUGGUGGAUGGGUAAGAUAAAAAUGGGUAUAGAUUGUGAGAGACAGGCUGACAAAAAAAAGUGCGUGCAGUUUUUUCACUAUUCUAGAGCAGUAAUUGUACUUUGCUUACAUACCUAAGCAUGUUUAGGUGGCAAUUUUCUUUCCUUGUAACAGAAGAGGUGACUUUCAAGAGAAUAAUCUGAAGGAGGUUGUGGUGGAUGACUGUUUUCCUUGUUGUUGGUUUUUUUUGUUUGUUUGUUUUGUUUUGUUUCUUUAAAUUCAGAAUGUUUUUUACCAGGUCAACAGGCCAAUUUCUCUCCAUUGUUCACAAAGCUAUUGGGUAUUUUUUUUUCCUUCCCACUGUGCCUUGAAAAAACAACUUCACUUAAGUUCAUGUGUGAAACCUUUUGCACAACAGAAGUGGUUUCUUGUGGCCAGUAAGACUAAAUGUUCUGAGCAUUCCAGGAAGCAUAUAAAUAGACUGAUACUCUUCCUAAGGUUAUAGAGCAUUAUUUCUCCCUUUUUUUCUUUAUUUCUCCUCCUGUCCUACUCCCCUACCUUCAGCUACGCUCUCUCCAUCUAGGCAAAGACCAAACAAAGUGCAGUGUUUGAAAAUCCUGACCAUCAUUUUCCAUUUUACUUGGGUUUUUCUCAGUUACAUGUUCUGAAUAGAAAUUGUUCGAGUAAAUGCAGCACAGUAAAUUAUCUUAAAUUACUUCUUAUAGUCCAGACUAGUAUUAUAACAUGAAAAUUGUUACUUGGAGUCUCCCACGCCCCUGGCUGCUGCAGACCUGUGUCUCCAGGCUGGGGAGAAAUGGAUCACAGUACUUAUCCAGCAGAGCCUGCAGGCCAAUCCACAAUGUGGAAAGUGGAGUUCACAUAAAGGAGGUCUCUUAUCCUUUCCUCUCAAUCCUGCUAGAUACAGCAAAGCUGUCACAAUGGUCAAAUAUAAUUAAAAUGGUGAUCUGCCACUGAAGGGUAGGCCAAUGUCUAUGCAGAAACCAGAUGAGGAAUUAUUCAAGCCAAAAACAUUAAAUCUCAGCUCAUCCGUGGUUACCAUAAAACAGCCAUCCUGUUCCUUUGAUCUAUGAUGAAUUUGAAUGUGUGUUAAUAAGACAUAUAUGCUGGGCAUCAACAUCAUCUUCUGUUGAACGAAGGUAAACACUGCAUUCGUCUCUGUAAAAUAUACUUCAGUAGUUGGGAAGAAAGUGGAGAUUCAUUAUUUUUGCAGUUGUAGAAGACAUUUAGCAGCUGUGUUUAUACUGGCAGACAAUUUGGAUAUUAGGUGGCAGGACAGAGAACUGCAGAUGCACGAUAUCGUGCAGACAUUGUGCACUUACAGCACAUUUCCAGGGAAACAUGUUAUUUUAUAUUUCCCUUGGUGUCAUUAAUCACGUUUCAUGAUGUAUCUCACUAUUUCAACUCAUUCCCCUAGAUUCAUUCAUUUUUUUGGCCUGUUUAUUUAAUAGUUAUUGAGCUCCAUUUCAACAAAUUCCAUCUUAACCACAGAUAAUAAAGUUCCUUUUGCUUCAGGGGAGAAAAUUAAGAUGGCCCUGUACUGAUUUCAGGGACUACCUGUAAUAGUCAGCAUGUCUGCUGCAUCAGAAAGAUACUUUGUUUGCCUUUGGUCAGAAAAAUGUUCAUGCUGUUCUUUGCAACUUAAAAAUUAAACUCAUUUCCUGAAAGUAAAAAUAUGAUUCUUAUCUUGAACUAUAAAGGAAAACAGCUGCACUUUAUUCUGUUCUCGAAGUUCUCUAAUCUCUCUGGAGGCUUUGUUUUGGUUUCACAGGUGAAUCCCUUAAACUGCAGCAGCAAUGAUGGCUCCUCCUUGGCAGAAACAUGCUGAGAAGCAGUUGGGAAUCCCCUGCUCUGGAGCUGCAGCCUGAGGAACCUCAGCGUGUAAGAAGCGUCUCUGAGGCACUCACAUGGUGAUGGUUAUACAUCUCCUGCUUACCCCAACUUAGUGAAAGCUGUCUUCAAGCAAAUAAGACUGGCAGCAAGGCUGGGAGUGCAAUCACCUGCUGGCAUAAUCCCUGGACUCUUCUUAAAGGAAUUCUAAAAAGGGAAACUCAGGAAUGCCUACCUGACUGUCCAGAGAACUGCCAUCCAGAGGAGCAUCCUACAGCAGCACAAGCAUUUCAUCUUCUGGAUUUGUGGAGACAUGUGGGAUUUGUUCAUGCUGAAGGCAGGAGGAAGUCAAGGGAGAAAAAAAGAAUUCUGGGAGAUUUUAAAAACAAAAAUGAUUCUCACUAGGAAACUUGGUAAAACCGAAGAUCCAAAGUGAAACAUCAGGAAACAUCACCAAAAUGAAGCCCGUUGGAUGUUUGCAGCUGUUUCUUUAGUCCUGAUUAACAGGGAUUUUCUGAGAAGAGCUGCACAAGUGCAGUCCCCAUUCAACGUACAGAUUUUCCAGAGUGAUCUCCAAGUUGUAAUGGACAACCUCUUUCCUGCCAGCAGAGCCCAGAGAGGAAUAAACCAAGACCACCAGCUAAGUCAUUGUGUAAUGUGCUGUGGAUAUGAGCAUCGAAUGCCCUCAGAAAACUGGAGUUGUUAUGAGAAUGGUGCAAAAGAAUCUUAUGAGAAAUAUCCAACAAAAUGUCCACUUCACGAUGUCACUUGCUCCGAGUUUCAAAAAAUCAUUAAAUAUAAUUACGCUAAUUUGGCAAUGACUCAGGACCAAAUCAUCCUUUUGCGGGAAUUACCUACGAAGGAAACUGGACGCUCCAUGGCAUCUGUGUCAUCCUUCCCUCCAGAUGGUGCCUCAAAAUCUGUUCUGAAAUGGCAUGUGCAAAGCAGACCCAGAGUGCCUAUCAUUCAGCCCUCUGAUGGCAACUCUCAGACAACUCGGGGACAGACAGAACACAAAACCAGAAAUAAGGACUUGCAACCGUGGCUGAAGAUGCCCAGAGAGUCGUGUAUGUAACAGCCAGCGAGAGGCAGAUGACAGCAACAAGAAAUUUCACAGCUCCAAAGAGUGAACGUACCACGGAUUAGUACCGGAGACAGAAAUACUUCUAUGAAAACCAUGAAGGAAGUUCCGGAAUCUAGAGUAACUCUCGGAUGCACAGAACUGGAGACUUAAAAGAUCCUCAGUUCCCCCAGGACCUGAGCAUGUAGAAACGUGGGGGCCUGGCUGUCCUUCUGGUCUGCACGCGUGGCCUCAAGCCCGAAUCCCUACAACAGCAUCUCCACUGACAGCAAAGUGCUUCUUCGCCCUUUACCACUGAACUGCUGUGGCUUGAUUGUGUGAAACUGAGUUUCAGGAUGCAAGAUACUGUUCAGAUAGUUCUGCAAUACAUUCUUCAGACCCAGCAACUUUGGCAGGCCCGUGGAUGAUGGAAUAACCAGAUCUCUGCGGCCACCCCUGAAAAACAGAUUCUUUCUUCUGGAUUCCCUGGGAUUCUCUCAGCAGCCAGCCUUGUUUACAGAAGUCAGCGCGGACAGUAACAGCCCUUCACCAAUGAGCCACAGUGGAACCUUUGGGGAAGGCUCCUCACGGUGCUCUGUCAUCUGCUGACAAAGUGGUGCCAGGACCAGAACUUCACAAUGAACUCUGCAGAGAAAAAUCCACAGCAGAUGAAGGAAUCUCGAAGGUAUGGACCUGCAGUAAAACUGCUGUAAGAAAUGAUUUAGUUUAUCUUUAUUCACCUCUGUAAAGGCUGAAGGCUGAGCCUUGUGGCAGGCUGUGAUAUCACCUUCUUAGUCGAGUUAUUUGUUACUGUUUUUUAUGUUUUCUGGUAUUCAAAAAAAAAAAGAAAAGAAAAGAAAAAGCUAUAGCUAGGAGUUAUUGGCAGUUCAAACCGACUAACACCGUGUUUGGAAAUGACCUGGAGUGCAGGUAUUUGCUACAGGAGAACACCUGGAGCAGCUGAUGGGCGCUUAGGUACCGUAGUGCUGCUUUCCUGCCUACGGCCAAGGGACCGGGCGUGCGCAGCAGUGUGCUCUGCACGACCAGAUAGGAAUAGCAGCAAUAUCCAGCACCAAUUCCUUCCCUCUCACUCCUGGUCUGUUUCCAUACGUGGCAGUCAUGCAAUGUGAUUUCAACACGAACCGGGCUCCUGAUGUGAAAGCGUUCUCAGCUUUCAAGUUUAGGUUUAAAAAAACAACACGGAACGGAUGAAGUGAAAUGUUUCCUUUGGACGGCGCUCUGACAAAGGGGAGGAAACCCCUCACUGUGGGAUGGCAGCCGCGGGUCAGGGGCGGGUAAGCAGCGGUUACCGCCAUCCAGAGGAGAGCAGCCAUCAGCCGUCAGAUUGCAUUUUGUUUUGUGAGUGGAAAGGAGAACCCAACCGGUUGGUCUGGUUCGUGCUGAGGCAUCCCAGAGCAGAAAAACAACUCAGUGACAGGUAGACUCAGGCUUAAAGUGAGAGGAUCCCCCACGUCACUGGUUUCAACUAGAGGAUACGUCUGUGCUAUGAGAAUACUCAGUAUGAGAAACGUGCUGCGAAACAGAGGCAGCCAGUUGGAGCAGUGCUUCAGACUAAGCUGAGGUCAGUUUUAGAAUCACAGAAUACUUCAGGCUGGACAGGAACUCUUGAUGUCACCUCAAUCCACGCCCUGCUCAAAGAAGGUCUCACUACGUCAGAUCGCUCAAGGCUGCAGCCAGUCAAGUUGAACCCUCAAAUGGGGAGCCUCUGCUGAAUGCUGGUUACUGCAAGGAAAGCAAUUGUGAGGACUUUUGUGACAAAGAGGUGCUUUAAAGAAGUAAACUUUGGAAACACAGCUGAUUUUUAAUACUUCAGCCCCAGUCACUGGCAAUAGAAGGGAUUUGAUUGGGAUGAGUGCUAAGAGUCCUUCUGCUGUGCUCGGUCAGCUACCCCACCAGAAAUGAACGUGGGACAUGUUAUUUAAACUGAGAAGUUGAUAGUCUUGAAUACAUCUGUUUGUAUAAACUAGCUGGCUAUCCCCUUGCCAUCUCUAACGUAAAUCUACUAAGGUAUUGUGAAACUUCAUUUAUUUUAAGCUUGCAGUAUUUACCUGUGCAAAUCAUACAAGAAGCGUCCUUUCUAACUUCCAUGCCAUUUUUCUACUGAGUUAUUUGUUGGAAAGAUAUGUUCCUGUAUAAUUAAAUGUGGUUUUCUGAAACCUUUGCAGUUGGUAGCUUAAUAUAUAUUUUGUUGUACUUUGAGUACAAAGGAUGUAUUAUGCUUUUGUUGGCAUCCUUACUAGUCAGUGUGCCAACUGCAUAAUUUGGUUCUCUGCUAUAUGUCAGGAUUUGAGCGCCGAGGGCUCAACAGGUGGUGCUGGGAUAAAGUUCUGGCAAAUCAAAUAGGUAGCGCAGUUAUUUCUUUUGUCAAAUUAUAAUUGAAAACAGAGACAAGUAAAAUGAAGCUCAUGUUUUCCUGGUGCAAAACAGGGUUUAGAAUUCAAUUCAAAUCAGUUCACAUGACGAAUACACAUUACUACUGGAGCUUGGUCUGUAAAUAAACAUGCAGCACCUUAGUUUUGAUGUAGAAUGAUUCGUUCUUUGCAAAUUUAAACCUUAAGCGUCAGCAUUUAAACAAUAACAGAGGGCGUGAGUCCUCCAUGACUCUUCUGUCUUUGUCAUGCAUAUCUUGCAGAAAAUGUGCCAAAAUCUUCAGGAAAACUUUGAGAAGAUUUAAAUCUAAAAAGUCAGAGAAUUUGAGGCUGUCUGUGAUACAUAACUCAAAUGCUUAGCAUCAGGAGUUUCCUGCCAUAUUGUUUUCUAACCAUCGCUCUACCUGUGACCCCAGCAGAAAAUGGCAUAAAUACACUGGAAAUUCCAGUGAAUGUGCUGCAUGAGGUGCUGCUUGUUUUAUACUUGUCUUGGAUAAUGUUUAUUGAUCCUAAAACCAUACAAAUGGGUUAAAACCCAUUCUGCAACAAAAAUACAACAGAUCAUGGAGGCACAGUUUGGUUUUCCAAAAUUGCAUAUAAAAAGAUCUAUGCACUUGCAAGCCUUUUCCCUUUGUUAUUGUAGCUGAUGUUUUUACAGUGAGAUCUUGUUAUUUUCCUCUGAGGACCUCUCUCAAUAUAAUAUAUAUAAUCUUAUCUACAGCUCCUACAGACACUGUGGUUUAAGUUAGUUUUCUGUUUCUUCUCACUCAAAUGGAUUUGUUCUGAGCUGUAGCUUUCAGACUUCAAGUUCUGUCUCAACGUAUCUGAACCCAUCACGUACCAAAGCAGCUUCCAGCAGUGGCCUCCAGUUCCUCACACUGGUCGCAAACAUCUUUAUGACACUAUUAAGCUCUCAUGUUACUGAAGGUUUUGCCUUUAUACGUGACCAGGUGAUGCUUCCUCUUCUGCCACUUAAUAAGUAAGUCAUUCUGUAAGUGAUUGUUAACUAAUUAGUGUGAGAAAAGGUUAUCACAUUCAACUUCUAUUGAAUUCCUAACAGGCAACCAUUUCAGGUUACCACAGGUAUCUGCACGAGGUUGAGAUCCAAUUGCAAUCGGAGGGAUGGUUGUAGGGGAGAAAGUAAUUCCGGUGCUCUGGUCAUUUUGUUAUUUAUAUAUAUAUAUUUAAAAUAAACAUGUGGAAUAUUUAUCUUAAACCUCAGGUAACUGUUUAGAAAAGAAACAGCUGAGAAGCUGAUAAUGUACCCCUUUCACUGACAAAAGAUUUAUGCCUUGCCUGGCAGGACUUCCCAAUGGUCAAACAGAAGCAGCACGUAGCCCAGUGUUUAUCCAGGGGAACUGAGACCGCUGCUUCCACGCUUUUUCAUGUGAAAUUAAUUCAGCCACGUUGAAACUGGCCAAGAAUCAAAAACGUGAUAAAAUUCCUAUUAAAAGAGUGGGAGAGUGGCUCGGAAGCAGUUUGUGCAAAAAUAUGUAGGCACGAACAUUUCUGGUGACCUUCCCCAGGAGCCACCUGGCUGCUUGCAGGGCACCCCCUCUCCCUUUGGGGAGCAGGUGAAGAGUUCAGCUCAUCUUAGUUGUGAAAUGAGAAUCUGCAAUAAGAAACGAGCUCUUGGAAUUCAAAGAUGUAUUAUUUCAUGCCAUUCUAUUGCAGGAAAAAUGGCAGAAUCUUCUGUGGCACUCACAAAUGGGGUAACAACAAUUUUUUUUCAGAUUCUUAGUGGUGCUAAAAUCUGAACAGAAUCUGGCCUUUGCUCUUUCAUGUACAGCAUUUGAUUAAUUGUGAUUCCAAAAGGUAAUAUUGGCUUUAAAUUUAUCUCUUAACAACUGAUCUUCCUGUUUUUUGUUUGUUUUUUAAUACUUUUUUUCUGCAUAGUUGUUUGCCAUCACUUUCAGCAAGGGUGCAUAAUGAAACACAGACACUUGGAAACAGAGGAGUGUUGGGGGCAGGGUAUGUGAAAGCCUGUGUGAUGUUAGUACAUACACGUGUCACACUCCUAAGCCAGGAACCAGAUUUCCAGUUGUUUUUGAGUGUAUGUACAAAAAGGCAUGAUUUCUGCUGCUCAUCUCUCUCUGAGUUAUUAAAAAAAAAACAGGCCGUACAAGGAAAUAGUUCAGAAAAGGAAAAUGAUAGAUAUGAUUUCUGCUCCCUAUCAGUCCUCUUGUGGCUUAGAAAUGUAUACUUAUUUAGAGUUAUAUUUUCAUUUUUGGGAGACAUACUGUAUUUUAAGUAAGCAAAUUCCUAUUUCCAUAGGUGUAAGCUUGAGCACUCUGGUUCAGUGUGUGCAUGUCUUAGUCUACUUUUGGCACUAUGUAGUUCAGGUUAUGUGCUCUUCUCUGCUAGGUUCAGGCACCCAAGUACGUGCUUAUGUGAGUGGGAGUACAACGUACCUACGCCUACCUACGUGUGCUUACCUACAGACAUUUUUAUUUUCAAUGUUCUGAUUCCAGCGGCCUUUUCAAGAGACAAAAGAAAGUUAAAAUUAGAGCCUAAAAACAAUGGAUUUGCAGCAGCCAGCACAAUGCCAGUCUGCACUGUUGUGAAAGACCUGUGCAUAAACAUUCAUAGGGAUGAAUUCAGAGGUGAUGGGCAACACAGACUGAGGAAAAGGAGCCCAGAGAGUAGGUAAUAAUAAAGAAAAUCAUGAAAAGAGGAAACAGAGGAGGAAAAGCAGCUAAGUGAAAGGUAUGUAACACCUAAUCUAAAGCACAUUUCUCUCUCCUUCAGCGCACACAAAACUUUUACCGGUUCCUUUUUAUGGUUAUUGAAUGCCCACAUUACCUGAAAGUGGAAUUUAUUGUGCUGAGUGUUAAACUCUAAGUUUUACAAAUAAGCUUCCGUACAAAAAUAUUUAUUAUCUGUAACGUACAUCAUCAGCUCUUACACUCCCACUGCGUUCAUCCAUUGUCUCCCAAUACAGUUACCGUGAACGUAUGUCAGAAUAUACGUCAGCCUCAGAAAUACACACUUGUACUGCAGUGACUAUUUUCUAUUCCUUAUUUCUUUGCCUCUAUUUUAAACAACGGAUGCGUACGUUUGCUUAGAACCUAGCUUCUGAAACAGAAGGACAGAAUUACUGGUUCUGACAGCUGUGAAAACAUUUCCAUAAUACAGAAAAUCUAAAUGCCUCUUCAUUCAAUCACUUUCUCAAUGAAAACAUCCCAGGAUUAAAGAAAUCCAGGGAAAGAGAAAAGAUUAACCUAGAAAAGGCAAAUAAGCAAGUGAAUAAAGCUGGGUUUAUUGCUUCCUGCUUCAACAGUGUCCAACAAGAUCUGGGCCAUGGUGCCACAGCUUUCACACGCGUGUGCAGUGGACACAGCUCCCCUGCAUGCAAACAAUGCACCAGCUUGCAUGAAGUGAAUUGGGGCCAGCACAAUUGUUUGAAGGAGGAGGGAUGCACAGUCCCUGGAAGCACAGAAGUGCCUUUUCUCUCUGGUUUCAUGCAGCUGACAUACCGAGCAGAGGAGCCAGAGAGAACAUGUAAUGGAAAUAAAUGACUUUGCAGACCCAACGGAAGGAGGUGGGAGCGAAAAAGCAUCCUCACCCCCUGCCCGGCGGCUGCGUAAAUCUGUCCCUGCCAGGAGAGCUCCGGGAGGUGCUCAGCGGCCGCCUCCCCAGGAGUCAGUGAGAGUUCAGGUGCUUACUGUGUCAUCAGGCUUGACCUUCACAUGCGACACUGCCAGGACGUUUGUUUUCCCACAGCAGUGAUUGCUUCAGUCAAUUAUUAUUGCCCAUCGUAGAGUGCAAACACAUAAGGGCUUGAUUUACAGUGCAAAAAUAUACAUCCUGAAUUUACUUCCUCUUUUGUUUUUGGACUGUCAUAGCAUCUCCACCUUAAAGAGAUGACAGCAAAUUACUUCAUAGGUAAAUAUAUGUAUGUAUAGGGAAGGAUAAAUAGCAGUCAUUCGGGUCAUUGUGAGAUGAACGUUCAGUAUAGCUUCAGAUCGGCUGUGUCAGACGUGACAAUAUAUUUUAAGCUUUUUGUUUUAAAAUUUUCAUUUUUUCUGCUUUUCUUUGAAGAAAUCAUCAUUCGCAAAUUUUGCAAGUUGGCAAUCUAACCUCUAAAUCCAUUCUAACGCAGAUUUAAGAUUGUGCAUUCAGUUCCUUAAGCAAUGUUUAGGUAUUACCAAUAUACUGAAAGAUAGAUGAGACAGCCUCAUGGUAAUACAGCUUUUAACCUUUCCUCUCCUCUACCAUGACGGGGGAGAAUUACAGUAAAUGAUGGUUACCUUGUCUGCAGUAUGGACAAUUGAUUUGACCUCACUGCAUCUGAUGCUCUAAUGGACUUUGUGGCUGAAUCCCUGGAGAUAUAAAAUAUGUCCAAGUGAAUUGGGGCAGGUUAAAGAACGGACCUGCUUUUCAUGGCUGGCUCAAGCUAUAAUAGAUCUCCCGGUUGUUCUGAGAAGAAGAUUAAAAAUGAUCAAUAUCCAAAUCAUUAAAAAAAAAAGCGGUGGCUUCUGUAAAUCUACCAUAGGUGGGUUUUUUUCCUGCUAAACGCCGGAGGAGGGUGUCUGGGUUGAUAACGUGAGUUUCCAUAACAAAUGUUUACUUCUGUUUACUCUCUAGUAACAUGUUCCUUUUUAUAUUAAGACUCAGACACACAGAUGGCGUGAUUCAGCACUGCUUUCCUGAAGUCAUGCUUGUUUACACCAUGAAGAGUCAGGCCUUAGGUUUAUUUAAUAUAGAUAAAAUAACAAUACUAUAAUAUUUCCUGAAGCAGAAAAUAAAAUCAAGGACAGAUUUCAGAGAAUGAUGGUAACUGUUAUAACUGUGAAUGUCCUCACAGUUCUGCUAGCCACAGUGUCUAAGACAAAAAUAAAGGUUUAAUUUAGUGAGGAAAAUAGAAAAAAAAGAUUUUCCUUGGCUGCUCUGAGUCCUUCAUUUGGCAAAGUGCAAUUGAACAUCUUGUUUAUCCUUUCCCACCCUCUCACGAACAUCUCUGCUCUUUUCUCACCAGCACACAACUGAGCUCAAGGUGAGUGUAAGUCUGUCCAGCCCCUGGAGGUGCCAGGAGAAAAGCUUUCACAGCCCACAGCUGGGAGCUCACCCACAGACCUUCCUCUCUACAUACAGCAGCAAUGGGGCAGGCAACUUCAGUGGGCUUAUACGUAUGCACAUGCUUAGCUUCCUGUAAAACCCAUGCAUUAAGGAGACAGAUGCACAGCUGUUCCAUUUGAGGCAUGCAUGUAUUGGUUUGUGCACUUAUUCAGUAAACUUGAAAUGCAGAGGAGCCCAAAUCUCUGUUCUGAACAGUUUGAGGUUGUUUGGAUCUGACAUCUCUGUGCGUUCACUGACAGAAAUAAGCUAAUUAUGAACCUGUGUUGGAAGAGGGAUGCCCUUUUUCUGAGUUUUGAGAAGUGUCUGGGCAGAGUAAUUGGACUGCCCUAUCUCAACUGCGUUACAGCAAUCGAGCAAAUGCGAAAAAUCUUCCUUAGAAAGGAAGAAAUAUGUGUUUUUAAGUGCUAGGACAAUUCCACGUAACAUCACGGUUUGCAUCUAUACCCACAGUACGCAGAGAUUCAUGCAGAUGUCCAACAAAUUGAAAAGGCUUCAAAUAUAUUUUAUCUAGUUGUAUGUCUAACAGUAUUUACCUUUUGCCUUUCACAGGUUGCUUUAAAAUCUGACUAUGUAAUAACAUCCUCUGAAUGAUUUAAUUUAAGCUAACGUGCUAUCCCUUUAUGUAAAAAGUAAAGGUAUUUUGAAAGCCCUUGCUGAAUACUCUGAGGUUGCCUCUACUGUGUGGCUAGCACUGGGCUGAAUGCCUAGCAUCCGUGCGUAGAAGAGGGAACAACUGCUGCCCCUCCGAUCUGGCUAUUCUUGUAUCUGGAAACAUUGUCAGGUGCUACAAGCAUCACGCCAUCUGAAAGGCCAAAGUUGAGUACUACGUUAUUGGAGUAGAUGACACCUUAUUCUUAUUCUUCAACAAUUCUAACAACUUAGAGUCCCUCACUGUCCCUUUAUGAACACAGAUGUCAUUCUGAGGGGGGGGACAGCCAAAAUGACAAGAAGGUGACCUGUCGGUGAACUCAGGAGCAGGUGAGGCCUGUCAGCUUCUAAUUUGAAACUGGUGUCAGUCCUGAGGAAUGGCUGGUAUAAUCACAUUUGUAACUGAUAUCCUAUAAACGCUGCAAACAUUCACAGUGCGCCUGUUAUGAGUAAUAUGAAAUUAACAAUUCGUGUUUAUGACACAAGACACCGACCGAAUCAAGCAGGUCUCCGUAACUGGAUCAGCUCCGUCUGUCUGCCAGAGCAGCGCAUCGAACUGCUUCAACCAAAGCCAAAUUACUGUGUGCUUAUGUUACAAUAGGCAUUGUAUUUAUUUUGAAGACAAACUUUUGUAACUAGGCGUAAAGUGAGGACCUCAGAACCAGCUUCUCGCUCAAGUUAUUGCAUAUAAAACUUCUCUUGCUCGAGCCCAGCCAUUAAGAUGUUCGUGACUUUUAAGAGUUUGGGACCUAACAAAUCACGUGUUGUAUCUCACAUUUUCUGAAUAACUGAAGGGAAGGCUCUGUGUAAAUCUUCUCUCUCAGACACAUAAAUUACCAGCUGCGUGAAUACUGCCAUUAAGACAAGCAGACAAGUGCGAGGGGUGGGGACAGGGCAGGAUGCCCCAAAGAGGUGGAGUUACAGAGAAAACAAGGCAUUUGCUUACUGAGUAAUUUAUGCUUCAUCUGCCUUCACUGUAGCUCAGUAAGAAUGAACACCAUGAGGCAGUCUGUCAGGCGCUCUCACUUCACUACCGCCAAGGCAUUUUUCUGCAAAUUAGGUAUUUGCUUCCUAUUUCUAGUCACUUCCACCUGGAUUUUUUAUUAGGAAAAGUCAAAAUCAUAGUAUCUGAAGCUAAGAUUUGAAUUGAAGUUACACUAAAAGAUAAACUGUUGCUCAAGUAUAUUUCACAUUUGAAGACAGCAAAAUCUCACAAUCCUUUGCACAAUUAUUUCCAGUCCAAACUGACAGAAGCUCUAAAGUUCGGGUCCUUUCCUGCCUGCACUGCUGCUGAGCCUGGUGCAUAGAUUAGAAGUUCCUUUCCAAUAACAAGCAAAAUAAAAGAAGAACCAUACGAAGAAUCUAUUGCAAUUGUUACACUGGAAUUUAGUUAGCAGAGCUACAAAAACGCAAGUCCAAAUCCCAAGUAGCUAGUGGAGAUUUCUGAACAGUUCUGUACACCUUCACGUAGACAAUCCAGUGGAGCUAACAACCUACUGUAGCACUCUUUUGUGAUAGGCAAAUACCAUUCAUUUCCAUUUUCCACAGAAGAACUGCACUCCACAGAGCUUCAGCAAUGUAAACAAGGCCAGGUACAGCAUUACAGCUGUGGUUCAGGCAACAACAUUCCUUGUCCUCUGACACAACACUUACACAUCAUACUUGUAACACUACCUAGUUCAAGUUGGUGGUCAAUACCACCUAAUUAGCAGAGUAAAAGUGCAAUUUUGAAACCAACUUACAAAACUGCUACAACCAACCUACAAAACUCCAUCAUACCAAAGAAAAAUUAUGGCUCUAAAUUUCACAAUCACUCUCUGCCAACCAAAAACUCACCUUUAAGAAGAGUCAGGGCUGAAAGCUGAAAGUUGAGGCAGUCAUCUCUCAACGUGUAGAACUCCUCACGUUGCUACGAAGGUACAGCACGGUUGUUCAGUGUUUGGAUAAAGUACUGCAUGGGAACUGUUGAAUCACAGCCUGAACCACCAAUUGAUCACCUGAGGCAAGGACUGAAUCAGCUGUGGGAGCACAGGUGAAAGCAAUUCAGCUAUGUGACCAGAAGCUGUGUGACCACAUUCCACCCCUCCCAGACCCCAUUUAAGGGCUGACUAACACUGGGGAAGAAUCUCCUUGUGGUGAUCCCUCCUUUGUGGAGCUUUUCAGUGUGAGCCUAAAUCUUUGCAUACAGGUGAGCAGUUCUUCUCUGUUUGUUCCUUUGCUAUCUCACUGCAGUACUCUUUCCAACUGUGCUUUGUAGACUAUACAACUACUUUGGUGGCUACUCAGAACUGAUAACAUAUGUUUUAAUUUUCCUCCUACUUGCACAGGUAUAAUUAUAUUAAUUCCCCACAUAGUUUAUGAGAAGAGCCUGCCCUGUGGAACAAGACCCAGCACAGCAGCAGGUUCCUGCAGCACCAGGUCAGCUCCAGAGGCUGAUAUCAGCAGCACCACCUCACAUAGCUCCUAGAGCUGGUAGGGUGCAGUGCCUCAGCUGGAUUGCUGCUGUAGCUUACCUGCAGGAGCCUUCUGCAUCACUGGUCAUAUAAAAUGCUCCUCUGCCAACAGAUGGAUUGCUUAUCGUUUUGAUUACUGGCUGUAAAUGUUCGUUAUUUUUUCAUUUCCUAGCUAAGCAAGCUUAUGUGUGUAUACAUUUUCUACAGUUUUCAUUAGAGUAACACUAAGACCUGGCAUAAGGCCAGGAGAGAGAAACUUAGAAUUAUUGAUUAAAAAAUACUCUUAGUUUCUUCCAGACCUUCAUUGUGACCCUCAUACUCCUGACGUUAAGGAGCAGCUGGCACCCCUCAGCUCAGCCCAUUACCUGUAGGGCUCCCCUGAGCAUUCUGCACCCACCUGGCAGUGCUGUAGAAAGGAGGCUGUAGUGGGUGAUGCUGAGCUUCUGCUCCCAGUGCUGGGCCCAUGUGAGGCUGCUAGAAAACCAAAAGAAAACAUGGAGGGGGGGGGGGGGGAAAGCCCACAAAAAAAAACCACCAUGAUCUGUUCUCAAAGGUGGAAAGUGGAAGAAUAAGACAAAAGCCUCUGUGGUCAGAGUAGACAUCUCUUAAGAUCUUGAGAAAAUUCCCCAUACAUAGAAAGAAGCAGCAGAGCACAUCUGUUUUCAUGACAUAGUUUGGUAAUAUCUUGAGCACUGCACUUCCUCUUGACCUCACAGCACCGCUUUCUGUUCAUACAAUUAAUACGGGGAAGCCACCAUUCCCACCAACUUUCAUUUUGAAGAUAAACAAAAUCACUCCUUUCAGGGUAAUCUUGAAGAAAUGAACUGCAGCAAAUCUACAACCAGGCAUACCCAGUGAAGAGAUGUUGGAGGGAAAAUGGGGAUAUAAAUGUAUGGCCCAAUUCUAAUUUUAUUCAUUUCUAGUACAUUGGGGUAGGCAGAAUUGGAGUAGGAAAAAAAGGAAGUUUGACUUCUGGGGUUGUCUUUCUAUAUCAUGCUGAAUGGAGAGCAACACAGCACAUAAGCUCACUGGGUGGGAGAUGGGACUUGAACAUGAGGUAUUUCUCUAAGCAGCUUGAAUCAAGGGCUUAAGCACGAGCAGCCUGUAUCUCAUCCAGCUCCUGUAACUGCUAUCUUGUGGGGAUUUUAUCCCAGACUUCAUGAAUAUUUAGCGAGGCUUCCAAAAUAAAUUGGCACUCUCAGUAUACACUGAGACCAUGAACCAAUGAUUGGGAAACUAGUCUGGUUCAAAUCCUUGCUCUGCUCCGUUCCCUCGCAGGUGUAGUGACAAGUUCAUAAAUAACAGCUCUUUGCUGACUGUAGGGCUCCCAUACACGAGUGCCCUAAUCAGUGAAGAAUUUUUUUUCCCCUCUAUACAGCAGUUCCAUCUGCUUCAGAAAGUUUCCCCUCAAAACCAAUGCAUUUACAAAGUAAGUGCUAGUUUUGGUGACUCAGUGCUUUCUUUAAAAAGAAUACCACAGUAUUUCAGUCAAAAACCAUAAUCAACAUGAACUGAAAUGACACAGGUUUCUAAGCCCUUGGCUGCAUGGCAGCCUGCGUGCAGCCCCGGGGCAAGUUCCAGCACUGCAGCAGCGACCAAUGAAAAAUCCUUGAAGCAGAAAGGCAGCAUUAAAGCCAUCCAUUAAGCAGUGUUUACGUUUACUGUGAGGUGAAUUACAAAAACUCCCUGGCAGUUUUUGAAAUCUGAGGGCCUAGGAAAGCCAUCUGGGAAUGGUACCUCAGACACAUACUGUUAUCGUAGUAGCAAAAUUGAUGGCUGCAUCUUACCUGCUGGAGCUCUUCUUCUUCUGCUUCCCCAGGAAUCAGCACAGCAAAGGCAGUGGGAUGCCCACAGCCUUUCCUGUUUCUUCUCAUUGGUGUAGGCCUGCAGAAGGACAAUAUAGAUUUAGUCAAAGGAGACAGCAUGGAAGCAGACCUGGAUGCAUGUGACAGAACUGGAGGCAUCCCAGCGUAAUUAAUGAGCAGUGGAGCAAGUUGUUAUUUAUGUUGCCUGUUUCUAAUGAAUGGGAAUUAGUCAUGUCUUUGAUUCUUAGGUGGCUAUUUAUGCUGCUUAUCUGAUAUCUGAAAGGAAACUGUUCUGAAUAUUUUCUAGUCCAAGGAGGACUGGGUGGCUAAAACAAGACCUAACUUGUGCUUUUGGCAAAACAUUAGGAAACUAGUUUCCAAUUUUGGAAGUGUCUGCAUGUAGUUUUCCAUAGGUUUUUUUUCUUUCUUUGAGUUUUCCUGACUUCAGUCAGGAGGUGAAAUGCCAGAAAUACCCAGAGACAACAUAUCCAACAAGACCGCUCCCCCACAGGCACUGCAGCCCACCGGGUGUUUUUCCAAACCACCCCUGAACUCUGAACCUCCAAAUCAUUCACAGAUCUCUUCCACUGGGAGAUGAAACCACAUCGCUGCACGACUGCAGGAAGGAGCAUGGUGGGGAGCCGUGAGGAAAGCUGUGCUUUCCAUUGCCUUCCUGAGCUGGGAUGAGUGGUGGCCGCGCUCGCUGCAUCAGCCUCUGCUCGGGCUGGGCGCUGUGAGGGAUAAGCACGAGCUGGGCAGCAUUAGUCCUGUGGUCACCCAGAGCGUGAGCACUGCCCUGUUUCUGCUCCAGCUGAAGCCUGAAUGGAGCUUAGCUGGGAGAGGCCUCCAUUUCCCAUUACACAAUGGUAUUUUCUGUUAGACACUAAAGCCCUCUGUCCCUGAUGAUAAGCUGGUUUUUAUUAUAAAAUAUAACAGUUGUAUUUUACACAGCUCUUCUGUACAAUGCAAUUUACGGAGCUAUUCUGCUGGCUCUGUCAUUGACAGGGUGCCCUUUACAGCAGGACUUGUAGCACACCAAAAUUUUCAUGAUCCUAAGCUAGCGGGAAAAGAAAUAUUUCCAUGGGUGAAAAUUCCGGUUAGGUAACUAUUAUUGAAGUGUGUACGAGAUUGCAUGUCAAAACAUUUUUAUUGUUGGCUGGUUGGAAUCACAUUGACUGACAGCAGCAGUUUAACAACUGAAGCACAGCGCAGUUUGUUAUUGUACCUGUUUCUCCAUGGAACAGCUCUGUAUUUUAGCAGCUGCUAUCAUUUCUAAGUUACGAAGCCUGCCUUUAGAAAUGUGUGUUCCCUCUCUCCCACUUACAGUACCCUUACUGAGCUGGCACAAGACAAGCGAGUAAUAAAAGGAAUGUAAAGUGUUUUAAUUUUGUCUUGUUAUAUGGCAUUACAUUGCCAUGGCCUCUUGAUAACAUAACAAAUGUAUACAGGAAAUACAGCUCAAGUGAGCAUGGAAACAGUGGGAGGAGAAGGGGUGUUAGGUUUGGUUGCUUGGUGGGGGCUGUUUGUGCUGGC